rnacentral:lncRNA from 1 species
CACUACAUCCACUUGUGGUUUGAUCCUAAUGCGAGCUCAACACUUCUAUCAUAAGUGUUUUAGCACUCAUUUACAACAUUCAGCUUGCUAAACACUUUUUAUGCAAGUGAUGAUAAAUAGGCAUCGCAGAAAAUGCAAGUGAGAAUAGUGUGACUUUCAUAAUAUAGGCUAUUAACUUGAAUUUUGCCCAAAACAUAGUUAUUAGUUUGCCAUUUGUCCUAUCACACUAUUUGAGUUCCUAGAUUUCUUUAACCUAUGCUCCAAAGAGGAAUGAAAUAUCCUCAUCUUUAUGGACUAAACAAACAAGAAACUAGCUUUGACUUCUAAAGCCAAUUGAUCUUUCUUCAUUUUCACUAACAGUUAACAAAAAAUGAGCAAUCAGUUUUCCAAAAGGAGAUUCUUCCUCAGCAACCCAAC